rnacentral:ribozyme from 1 species
GCCGUGUGCAUGAUCUGCCUCACUCUGUCUUCUUCUUCUCCUCCUCCUCGUUAACUCUCAUAUGUACAUGUACACACACAUGUAUGUACAUACAUACAUACAUACCUCAUGUCGUAAGUAAUCACUUCCUAUUUUUUUUUUUCAUUCAUUGGGAAAAAAAAAAAAAUGAAAACGAAAACAAAAAAAAUGAGAAACCGC